AAAAUUAGAAUUUAAUUAAUUUUAAUUAAAAUAUAACUUAUAUGUGUACUAAAUGUGGAAUAUGCAUUUAAACUUCCCUCAAGGUUUGUUACAUAAUUAGACACAUUUCUUUCUUGUAUAUUUUACAAAAAUAGCAUUAGUAAUACUUGUAUUACAAACACCACAAAUGCGCUUUAUUGUUUUUAUUACCUGUAGGGAGAUUUUGCCAAUAAUGUAAAUAAUGUAAAUUCAAGUUUAUUUCCUCAUAAUAUUUGUGUACCACUCGGCAGCCGUCUCAAACUGCUGGUUUAAAGACAUUUUAUUUUAUUUUAUUUUAUUUUAUUUUAUUUUAUUUUAUUUUAUUUUAUUUUAUUUUAUUUUAUUUUUAAUUUUUCACUUAGUCUGAAAUAGGUGCUGUAGAAAAGCUAAAAAUAACACUAUUGUUUAUAUUGUUUACAUUACUGACAUUUUUUUAUCACUAACAUAAGCUCUGAGAAAAUUCCUCUUCCCUGUUCCACUCAAGUGUCACAUGUUCUAAACACAUGCAACAUAUCUUAAUAAUGCUUGCGUUCUUUCAUUUUUCGCUUCUGACUUUGUCCUUCCCCGCACUGACAGUAGAUCUCUUCAGGCAAUACAGGGUGGUUCAUUUCAGUCUGCAACGUGAGAGGGCUCGUCCCCAAGCUCCAUGCCACCCACAGAAACAUAUGCUUAGCCCUUCUCCUUCUUUUUCCUUCAGCAGACAAAUUGAAAGUAGAUUAUUGUUGGUGUGGCUUCUGGCUGACCUGGCACUAGUCCUUUUCAGGAAUUCCUGAAGACCACCCUUUGCCCCCAUAGAUAAUGGUCCUGCUUUGUUCCCAGGGAGUUCUCUCUCUGCUCACUGUAGUCUUAUCCUGCUUAUCCUGCUUGGCUUUACUGACAUCACACAGGGAAAAGAGAAGAUGACUAGUGCCAAGCAGAAACUCCCAUUUGAGGUUCAGAAUAAUGUUGUUGGGGAAUUUGCACAGUGACUGUUGUUCUUUUGGUUUCGGUGCUGCUUUAGAAGCAGAUAUUUCGCUAAUUGCUUGCAUGAUUGCAAAAUGAAGAUAGAGAUUGUUCCAGCUAGAUUAUACUUCAUUACCAUCACUACUUGAUGGUGAUAAUUAUGAUUAUACCAGAUAAUACUUUUCUUCAUUGCCAUUUUAUUCUUCAGAGAAUUUUAGAGCAAUGCACAAUUUAAAAGAUACAGUAGUUCCUACAAAUCUGACUUAUUUACUCAUCUUCAUGUUGUUCCAAGCUGAUAUGACUGAUGUUCUUCUGUGGAUCACAAAAGAAUAUUUAAAUGUUUUUGUCCAUACAAUGUAAGUCAGUAGAAUUCAGUGUUGUUUUGGAUCUUUGGCUUUCAUUUUAUGGACAAAAACAUUCUUCAAAAUGCCUUCUUUUGUGUCAUACAGGUUUGGAACAAUGUGAGGGUGAGUAAAUAAUUUGACAGAGCAGCCCUGGUCUUGUCCAGUCAGGUGUGAACGGAACAACGGUGAGUGUGAACCAACCAUUAGGCUCCCUGUAGUCUCUCAGAGUUAUUAGCAGCUCAAAGACCUGACUGCUAUCAGCCAAUGCAGGACUAGUUCCACCUGUUUAAGCCUGAAAACACCCAGGACUGCUUAGAAAAUAAGCUAACCGUCAGAAGAGGGCUUUUCCUGAAUAUCUGCUUGUCAUGAGAAAGCAUAUUGGAAAAGAAAAAUGCAUUUCCACACAAAAGGAGUGAAACAGAAGUGCAUAAUCAAAACGAAACGCUUACAGAAAUGACUAGGGAACUUUUACUUGGUUAAUGGCGUGUCAAAAAAUAUUUGCAUUUGUAAUCUGGCCGUUUUUACUGCAGAAUGAAUCACUGAUAAUUGUAUAAGUUGCUUUGAUUUAUUUGUGGAGAGUAUUUUAAGGUUCUGUGAGUCUGAACAUGCUGCUCACAGCUUGCGGUACUUUUCAGCAGUGAUUAGUUAGUUGUCAUGUAAGUCCAGCCCAGGACUAGACUAAACCUAAGUGUAAAAAUCCCAUAGCAACUAUUUGCCUUAAAUAUUUGGCUGUGAAAUACGUUAAUGACCGCACUCUUAUCGGCCUGAUAAUGGUUAAUUAGUUCUACUUAAUUAACCUGGUAAUUCUAAUUAAUAUCUUUUUAAUCUCAUUAAGUGCUUAUCAGCGCGAAUGAGUCUGAUCCAACAAAUCAUUUGCAAGGAACUCUCCACUGUAAACAAAGGAGGAAUUAAUGAAUGCAGCCUCAAUGCUGGUGGCUGGGUGUUCAAGCUAUUAAAUGGUGUAAAGAUAUUUAUACCAAACUUGUGUGCACAGAGGCUUUUAAAUGUAAAAUGGCAAUAUGAUAUCAGGGAUCUCCCAAGCACAUCAUUGUUUGGUUCUUUAUAUACAAUACAGUUCAGGUUUAGCCAAAGGACAUACUGUGCCAUUAUUACCUAUAGAGAGGUCACUUAUUGUAAAAGGAUUUAGAACAGAUGACUUUUUAAAAAUGAAUAAUUGUUGAAAAACAUGUUUUUUCUCUCUCUCAUUGACCUCCAGGGUGCUAGCAAAUAAAACCUACUUCAACUGCCCCAGUUGGGUCACCUUACGGAGACUGUGCCGCACACAUUGUGUGGGAAACUCAAGUAGCAGCAUUCACAAUAGCAGGUCUAUUUCAUACGUGCAGCGAGUCUUCUGUUGUGCUAUUGUAUUUUGGGUUGAAAGCCUGCAGGUAUUGACACUAUGUUUUGGUUACACAAUACGCAACAUUGUUUUUCUCUUGCAAGAGAUGUUAUGUGUAAUGCUAUGGCUUGUUGAGCCCAACCUGUUACAAUAGCAGAAAGUGCGAGGGCUGUAAUCACGCAGCUGAUCGAUAUCUGACACUGAUGUAGCUGCUGAAAUAUGGCAUUUAUUUACUUUGUGCACAAACUAUGGUUGUCCCAUUGCACUGUAAUCAGAGGUUCUCUCUUUACCGUUCAGAGAUCAUGUUGUGCACUUCUAUUUAUUCCCAUUUUUCCAUUUAUUUAACGUCAAUGGCUGAAUGGACCAGGAGAGAGCAAUGACAAUGGCGGAGUGCAGGUCUGUCAGAAGUGAAAGGCAUUACACAGACAGGUCCUGAUGGCGGUGUACGGAUGUGUCAUGGAAUUCAGUUUGGAAAGAAAAAAAAAGGAAAACACUUUUGGCACACUUGCAUACAAGAGUUGCUCCAAAGCAGGCAGAAGCAAUUACACUUGGAGACAAAGAGGCCUCCAGGGGAGAUGAGAGACAUGGAGCAGUGAGUGGGAGAAACUGAACAGCUACUGGAAGUUCACUGUGCGGAUUUGUGUUGGAAAAUGUUUGAUAUAGAUGUGAAUAUAAAGUAUGUUAUUGCUGUGCUACAGUUUUAUAUCUCAUGACUUUCUUGACUUGAGUAAAUUUUAACUAAUAAUCACAAUUUGAAAUGACAUUGAAAAGGCCAUUUUGUCAUCCAUUGCCAUACAAAAAAAAAAUAUUGUCUGGGAUUUACUUUAAAUGAUCACACAAACAAAUAAUUAUAUCAGUUUUCAGUCUUCACAUUUCACACAGUUUUCGUAUUUUUCCUUUCUUCCCCCAUAAUUAUCCAUAUUCCUGGUCCACACCCUUAAUGGCCCAAGUGCUGUUUCUCAUUUGAUAAAUUAGCAAAGGUACAGUUUCGAUGUUGCUUUUUCAGUACACGGGAAAGUAUUUAUGUUAGAUAGCGGUAGGUUUCCCCUCCUGCUCGGGUGAUGGGGGAUAAUUACUAUUCUGGAGCCUUAAGAUUAGAUUGUAAUUGAAAAUCAAAGUGCCUGAGUGAAAAGCCAGUGCAGAAAGACAAACGGAGGGAAAGGCAAUCUAGGCCAUCAGCCACAGUAAAUACAGUGCAACCUUGACAAGAGUUUACCUCUACAUACACCAAUGCUACAGUAGCUCAAGCAUCUGUGUGAGCUGAAUGGCCCCAAGGCCAUUCGGACCACCUUUGAGUCAACAGAGGUUUUGUCCUCACCUGUACCUUGUCUUGUCUGAGACCCUGCAAUGGGUCUCGGGUCUUUAUCAUGGUCCAGUGGAAGUGAAAGGACUUGUUCUUUUGUCGUUCUUGUGUGCUAGACAAGCACAGGAAGAUCGAGUGGACGACUCUGAUGGUGGUCGGUGCAGUGGACACAAAUAUUUGCUCCUGUGUCCACACAAAUUUAUCUAGGUGGUUGAGUCGCUGAGCGAUAGGUAAUUAACUGCACUUAGACACCACUGAACAAUGAAAGGGAAAGGAUAUGCCAGAUGCCAUAAAAUUAUAGCACAGGCAGAAGUUUCUGAUUUUUUUUUUUUUUGAUGGAAACAAUUGAUUGUGGGUGUGCAGUGGCUGACUCAGCCAUUAGUCAGUACAUUUUACAGUGAAACUGAGAGAUAUAACAAGUGUGUUUUUAUAACAAGUGAUGAAGGGACCUGUGUACCCUGAAGGGCACUUCUUCUCAACAUGCUUUAAGGAUGGGCUGCUACAACUUGCCUGUUUGUCUUCAAUGCAGAAGUGAUAAAUAGAUCUGUAUGCAUGAAUUCAGGUUGGAAUCCGUUGGGUCAGUGUUUCAUUGUCCAUCCAUGAGAAAGUGCAGAAAUGACUGCAGCUCUUCUUGAUUGUGUUUGUAUCACUCCAGUCUUAUUUACACGUAUCAGUGCAAUCAAAGUCAUGUAAUGUGAACUGAAGAUAAGCGUCAGUGUAAAAAUAAAAAUAAAUAAAUAAAUAAAAAACAUGUUGAAGCCAUUAUACAGUAAAGGUCUAUAUAUAUAAAUAUAGAUGUGAACAGGAAAGUGUAAACAUUUGCGUCAUGCACAUAUAUACUUGACAGAGAUCACGUAUUAUUCACAAGCCAUAAGUGUGUGAGGGUGGAGACUCUGGGAUUGUGUUCCUUCAGAAAAUCAACAUUUUCCUUAUCUGAUCUUCAACAAAUCCAACAGAAAAUGCUUGCAUGCCUUAGACUAAAUACUCACUAAUCUAUUGCUCAAUCGGUUUGUUUUACACAAACAUUAUGAAAUGUUUUUAUUUAGAAAAUAAAUAAAAGUGUUGUUCAGACAGCUUCAUUUCAUUAUGACUAAUGACUAUAUUUUUUUGUUAAAUAUAUAACCAAAAGCCAAUUUCUCUCUCUCUCUCUCUCUCUCUCUCU